rnacentral:rRNA from 1 species
GUGCCAGCAGCCGCGGUAAUACAGAGAUGGCAAGCGUUGUUCGGAAUCACUGGGCUUAAAGCGCGUGUAGGCGGGGUGAUGGGUGCCUUGUGAAAUCCCUCGGCUCAACCGAGGAAUGGCUUGGCAAACCGGCACUCUUGAGGCAGGUAGAGGUAACUGGAACCAUUGGUGGAGCGGUGAAAUGCGUAGAGAUCAAUGGGAACGCCGGUGGCGAAAGCGAGUUACUGGGCCUGUUCUGACGCUGAGACGCGAAAGCGUGGGUAGCAAACAGGAUUAGAAACCCCCGUAGUCC